rnacentral:lncRNA from 1 species
GGUGGAAAGGAGAUAAGAACAAGAGAAAAAUCACAAAGUUCAUUCAUCCUUCUUCUUCUCUCUUCUUUGGCCGUGGCCAUUCUUUUCCAUUCCUUCCAUCACAAAUUUCAUUUCUUCACCAAAUUGAUCCAUCUUAAGCUUGUUGGAAACAUGAGAGUUCAUGGAUCAUCAUCCCUAAGCUAGGGCAAGCAAGAGAGCAAAGCAAGAGGGUGCUAGGUCUUGAGAAAGAGAGGAGCUCAUGAGAGCUAGAACAUGAGGAGCUUGAGGAUUCAUCAAAUUUCUAAGGUAAGAGAGUUAGUUUCCAUGAUUCAUGAGUGGUCAAAGAGAGGGGAGGUUGUCUAGGCCUCCAUUCCCAAACUCUCUCACUCAUUUUCUUUGGGGUUUUGG